rnacentral:misc_RNA from 1 species
AUGACAAUGAAAGACUCUCAAGAAGAGGACAACCAGAAAUGAGACUCUCAAUAGCCUCAGGAGCAACCAAAACUUGAUAAAGAUUGAGACUCUUCAAACAUAAGAAUCCUUUAAAACCAGGAGGCGGAUCAAAUUCACAACGGGUUAACUCCAAACGGGUCAACUUCUUACAAUUGAAAAGACAUGAAGGCACCCUAAACCACUCUCCUUCUCCUAAUUC